AUGUAUAUAUAUAUAUACUAGGGUACUAGAAAAAAAAUUUUAAUUUUUUAAAUUUUCCCUCUCAUUAUUCGAAAAGUUGGUAUAGAGUAAAAAAAAAAAUUCUCAUCAAAUUUUAGCUCCAGAACUUAAAUUUAAGGGGUAACGUGAACUGAUUUUCAAUUCAAUUUAAUUAACGGACAAAAACUGAAAACCUAAAAUAGAGAGUCUUUGGCGUUUUUUAAAACCUUAAGGGAGGAAGUUGGUCUGAGAUACAAAAAAAAAAGAGCAUAUUUUUGUGAUUUUUUCAGAGUACCUUCAUUAUUAAAAUUUUAAAAAUUUGUGACAUUAUUAAGCAUCAUUCCAAAAAUAUUCUGCUAAAUUUUCAUAAAAAAGUAUUGAAAAAUAAACCAGUGGUAGUGGGGAGAGCCGAGUCACCUCAAUAAAAAAAGUCUCCAUGCCGUAGGCAGGAUCUCAUGACUGCUUCACCUGAAAUCAAAAAACCAAAAAGGUUUCUUUAGUACAAUAAGCUUAUCUUGGAUUUGAACCAAGGAUUUCUUUUUUUCAAUAACUACUUAUUUUUUAAUUAAUUAAAAGGAGCAAUUUUCGGCAAAAAUCAGAGUAUUUUGAUUGCACCUUUACCAAAAAUUCAAAAAUGAAUAUUUUGUUUAUUCCUUCGUUCAAAUCCAAGAAGAACUUAUAUACUAAAGAAAUUUUUUUGGUUUUUUAAUAUCAGAUGAGACAGUCAUGAGUUAUCCUGCCUACGGCAUGGAGACUUUUAGUGAUUCGGUUCUCCCCACUACAACUGGCUUAUUUUUCAAUAUUUUUUUUAUGGAAAUUUAUCAGAAUAUUUUUAGAAUGAUGCUUAACAAUGUCACAAAUUUUAAGAAUUUUAAUGAAGAAGGAACUCUGAAAAAAAAAUAUGCUCUUUUUUUUGUAUCUCAGACCAGCUUCCCCCCUCAACAGAGGGCUAAAAAUUUCAUAUUUUCAAAAACUCUUAUUCGUCUCCGAGAAAAAUCGUUUUAAAAUUCUCAUUUACUCUACGAGUGCAACAAAAAUAGUCCCGUUUAUUUUUCUGAGUGUGAGAAAGAAGUCCGGUGACGUUUCCCUUUAAGUUAAGAGAUUAAGAAUAACCGAUGCUUUUUCAAAUUUUUCUUUUCCUGCAGCGAAUGUUAUUUUUUCGCAAAUAAAUGAUCCGAAAAUUUCACCUUAAAUCAUCAACGUUAAAAUUGUUUUUCAAUUUCUACCAAUGACUCUGUGUCCCCUUUGAUACCUUAUCAAAACGUGGGAAUGUUUAUAUAGACGAAUACACAUAUAUGAAUUUAUAUAUAUGUAUUCUUAGUUGUACAAAACAUCAGUGUUAUGAAGAUAUUGUUCACGUGAACGUGAAUAACUGAGUGAAUAUUACACAUAUUGUCAUUUAGCAGUGGGGGAGCUUAUCUCUUGGCUUGACGAUAAAUUUGCUCGAUUGCGACGCCGUAUAAUAAUUAGUCACGUGGCCUCGAUGACGCUUUAUUUCUAUGUCGAAAAAAAAUCACCAGGACCUAAAAACUAAACGUUGUUAAAUUUUAUGAGAAGGUUUUUGUUAAGUUUUUAGCUCCUUCAUAAUUUUACAUCUUAAGCCAACGGGGUUUCGUCAGUGACUUCCUUAAUCUGUCUGUUUUAUUUAGCCAUAAGCUAUAAACUAGACAAAAAAAAAGAUUUGUAUCAAUAGACAUAAUAACGACAGAGGAUUAUAUAUAAACAUAUAUUUGCGAAAUUAAAAAAAAAAACUGUCUCUGACCUCGAGGGCCCUCUUAAUUCUCAGGCAAUUCAUCUUAUUUGCCAGAGGGCCUUCGUUUUUGUGGAUGAUCAAAUCGAUUGUAGACCUUGGAUACACUCUGGCGAACGUGUGAGCACAUCCGGUCGUAAUCCACCUAAAAUCUGCCGAGCCACAUUCUUCAAUGAUUUUACAAUCGCCAGGUUACAAAAUUGACUAAAAAAAAAAUCAUUUUAACAAAAACGAAAAAAGAAGAAAAGAAGAAAUACAAUAAAUAAAAUACGAAAUCAAAUAUAAUUAUAAAUAUUCAUUAUUCAAAUUAUAUAUAUAUAUAUUUUUUUAUAUUAUAUAUUUAAUGAAUGAAAUAUUUAAUGAAUAAAAUUAAUGGCCUAUUAAAUUAUUAUUAUCAAAUCGAUAUAUAAUAAAUUUAUUGGGAGGGGGUGGCAAAGUCUCCUCGUUAAUCGCCGGUAUGUGUAAUGUUGUUUUUAAAAACUCGUUGAGACGGUUAACGAGUGUAACUGGGUCGUGCGACAAGACAAGAGUAUAUACGUGAAUUAUUGCGCUUCAGAGGAAUCGUAAAUGAAUUAUUCUUAUUCGUGGUAACUAAAUAGAGAUGUAGAAAUGAAAAAAUAAGGUAGAAAAAUAUAUAAAGACCUUGGCUGCUAUAUAUUAUUCUCAGUGGUUUACAAUUUUUGUUAUAUUAUAAUAAAAAUCUUAUAUUAGUUCUAAAAUAUAAAAAAAAUAAUAAUAAUAAAGAAGUAAAAAAAAACUAAUAGAAUUAUAAAAGUAUAUAAAUAAGAUAGAAAGAUGAAAAAAAUAAAAAACGUAUGAGUUAAUUCUUUUAGCUUUACUAUUUGCUAAUUCAUUAUUACGAAAUAAUGAAUAUAUAUCUCCGUUAAGAACAUCACACAAGACGAUUUAAAAUGUGGUCAUAUAUUCGUUUAUAUGUGUGUAUAUAUUAGUGAAACAUACUGAAAUAAUAUUUUUCUUCAACCUUCCUCAAUUCUAUUUCGAUCAAUCAUAAUAAUUUUGCGUCACAUGAAUAUAUUUAUAAAAAUAAGUAAAUAAUAAAAAUAUAUGUAAAGUUUAAUAUAAUAAAAUAAUUAAAAUAAAUAUGGUGACGAAAAAGAAAUACGUAGGGAUAAAAAUAAUAUUAAAAUAAAUUCUCUUCUGAUCUUAUUGCGAAAUCAAUUUUUUUUCCACUUUAUUAUUUUUAUAUAACUAAUAAAAAAUAUAAUCUUCUUAAAUACAAUAUCAUACAGUAUAUUUAUCAUCUUAUCAUGUCAUUUAUAUAUUUUUUACUCUUUAAGAUAGUGAUAAAUGAUACAGUAUUAAUGUUAUAAUGUUUAUUUCUUAGGCUAAAUUAAAUAAAUGAUGAAUGCAAUGUCAGGAAAUGGCGACAGUGAAACAGCAGCAACUGCAGGAGAGUUUUUUUUUUAAAGGCAACGAUGAUGACGAAGACACGAAGACGGCGAAACAUUAACUGUGUAUUGCGAGUUGAUGAUGGGGAUGAAGAGUAAGAGGCAGAAGGUUGCGCCAGGUCCGCCCAGUACAAGUUAAAGCUAUUGCAGAUAUUGCAAGUGUCGAGAAGACAGACACAAAGAGUAAAAUAAAAAUAAAAAAAAAAACGAGUUAAAUAAUGAGACAGAGAACGAACAGAAAACGAAUAUAACUUUGAAUUUCUCGGUGUAAAUCUUGGUGGUAAAAAUUUACUCAGACUCAAAGAGAAUAUUUGUACUUAGGGAGAGAAAAGAGGGCAGAAAACGUGUCGAAUUGACGGUUAUAGUGACGAUAAUGAUGGAGUAGUCGUAGGCGCAGACUACCGUGGGGUUGAUGUAAAAUAAUAAGAAAAAAGUAUUAAAGAUAAAAGAAUAUAAAUAAUAAAACAGUAGGAGGGAAAAUACAACACGGGGCACCUGAUCCGUGGCCUUCCUUUAUGACCGUCACUCCCAGUUGCGUGUAUAUAUUACAUAUAUUGCUAAGAAAUGUUGCUUAUAUACUCUACUACUACUUUUUCUCUUCAUAUAUAUAUAUAUAUAUAUAUAUACACAUUAAUGUAUGUACGUAUAUGUAAGUAUAUACUAUACAUAUAUGUAUAAAACCACACACUAUGUCCUCCAAAGUCUUGGAGACCUCUCGAUCAAAAAAGGUCUCGGUAUCUUGCCCCGGAUUGUAUGGCUGUGCAACUCGGUCGGACUGGCGCAAUAGUCCCCUGGUAUCUUGCUGGUUACUACUGACACGAUCAUGUCAUCAGCCAGCUGUAACUGACAUUAAUGAUGUCGUGUUAAAACAUUAUAUGCGUCGAUUUGUCUUUACUUUUAAAUAUACAUAUACACAUACUCUUAUUAAUACACAUACAGUAAAUUUUACUCAUCUAAAACAAACACUUAUGUCAUUCACUGAUCCUCUUAUAUUUGCUGUUAUAAAAAUCAACCAGACAAUAAUAAAACAAAAUUAUCUUUACGCAAAUAUAUAAAGGAAUGUUUGAUUAAUUUAAAACUGCGUAUAUAUAUAAUAUAUCACGCACUCUGAGGAAACGUUAAUUAGUACAUACAUAUAUAUAAAAUAUAUAUAAGAUGAAUUCAUAAGUUAAUUUAAAUCAAAAAGCUUUUAAAUAUUACGGAAGAUAAAAAAAAAAAUUAUCAGUAUCCAUGUAUGGAUAUUAAAUAUCCUCAACUUAUAAUCAGUCAUCAAAAUCCAUGGACGCGGCCUCUAUAUUAAUGCUUUUACCUCAUCGAUAGACGCUUAUUAUAGUCACCAAAGUGAGUCAUUUUUAUUACUAUCAGAUGAUGCUAAACUACACGUCAGUAUUCUAGGACACUAUCAAUUUAUAUCAUAUAUAUGCAUAUAUGAUUUAUAUUUAAUUGUGAUAAUAAAAAUAAAAAAAGAUGUUUAAUAAAGUUAAACCCACACCAGUCGUCCAGUUUUAUUUAACUUCCUGUUGUCCUCUAUGUCGUGUCCUGUAUGUCAAACAGGCUUGCCAGACAAACAUCAGUUGUCUAAAUGUUGACCGGACGUAUUCAAAAGGUGCAUACUUAUUUGUACGAAGGAAGCCUCCAAUGGAAACUAAAGAAAAAAGAAGAGGACGUGUGUGGGAGGUCAAACUACCUCGGGAUGACCUCAACUGAUGCAGGAUACACACGAUUCAUGCCCUUUUACCCUCCUCUUCUGUAUUCUUCUCCAUAAAAUCUUUUCUUCUCGAGGCAAGCUGCAACGAAUACAAUAUAUGUAUAUAAUGAAUAUACAACACAUCACACAACAACAGUAAAUGCGAAUAAAGAACGAUGGAUUGUACUGCCCUGAGGGUUCUCUUUUUACUUCGAUUUAUGGUGUACCGCCUGGUUAGCUUUGAACGUUGGGUUGCUCUCUAUCGUGGGUGUGGACCGAUACGUAUUUAUACUGAUGACUAAUUGUCUCAUCUUUGGAACCGAAAAAACAUUAGUUUCAUAAGUCAUCGUUUUCUUUUUAAAUAUUUAGAUAUUUUUUAGUGACAGUUCAGCCAAGAAGUAAACAGGAUAUGAUGCUCUUGCUCUUUUAGCUGAUAAUAGCGUCAGUAUCUGCUGUUAAUUAAAUUAUAAUGUUGUUUUUUCUCACUAGUAGUAGUAAUCAUUUGUAAUCUUUAAUAUUGCAACAUCUUCUUACUCUGGGAUAUGUUAUAGCUAUUAUAAGUUAGUUUGAUUUUAUAAUAUGUUUUGACAUUUCA